CCUACGGGAGGCAGCAGUAGGGAAUAUUCCACAAUGGGCGAAAGCCUGAUGCAGCAACGCCGCGUGGGUGAAGAAGGUCUUCUGAUCGUAAAACCCUGUUUUUAGAGAAGAAAGUGCGUGAGCGUAACUGUUCACGUUUCGACGGUAUCUAACCAGAAAGCCACGGCUAACUACGUGCCAGCACCCGCGGUAAUACGUAGGUGGCAAGCGUUAUCCGGAUUGAUUGGGCGUAAAGGGAACGCAGGCGGUCUUUUAAGUCUGAUGUGAAAGCCUUAGGCUUAACCGGAGUAGUGCAUUGGAAACUGGGAGACUUGAGUGCAGAAGAGGAGAGUGGAA
rnacentral:rRNA from 1 species